GACGAACGCUGGCGGCGUGCUUAACACAUGCAAGUCGAACGGAAAGGCCCCUUUGGGGGUACUCGAGUGGCGAACGGGUGAGUAACACGUGCGUAACCUGCCCUUGACUUCGGGAUAACUUCAGGAAACUGGGGCUAAUACCGGAUAGGAAUCCUUUCUUCAUGGUGGGGGUUGGAAAGCUUCGGCGGUUUUGGAUGGACUCGCGGCUUAUCAGCUUGUUGGUGGGGUAGUGGCUUACCAAGGCUUUGACGGGUAGCCGGCCUGAGAGUGCGACCGGCCACAUUGGGACUGAGAGACGGCCCAGACUCCUACGGGAGGCAGAAGUGGGGAAGAUUGCACAAUGGGCGGAAGCCUGAUGAAGCAACGCCGCGGGCGGGAUGACGGCCUUCGGGUUGGAAACCGCUUUCAGCAGGGGCGAAGCUUGUGGUGACGGUACCUGCAGAAGAAGCACCGGCUAACUACGUG
rnacentral:rRNA from 1 species